GACGAACGCUGGCGGCGUGCUUAACACAUGCAAGUCGAACGGAAAGGCCCUGCUUUUGUGGGGUGCUCGAGUGGCGAACGGGUGAGUAACACGUGAGUAACCUGCCCUUGACUUUGGGAUAACUUCAGGAAACUGGGGCUCAUACCGGAUAGGAGCUCCUGCUACAUGGUGGGGGUUGGAAAGUUUCGGCGGUUGGGGAUGGACUCGCGGCUUAUCAGCUUGUUGGUGGGGUAGUGGCUUACCAAGGCUUUGACGGGUAGCCGGCCUGAGAGGGUGACCGGCCACAUUGGGACUGAGAUACGGCCCAGACUCCUACGGGAGGCAGCAGUGGGGAAUAUUGCACAAUGGGCGGAAGCCUGAUGCAGAAACGCCGCGUGCGGGAUGACGGCCUUCGGGUUGUAAACCGCUUUCGCCUGUGACGAAGCGUGAGUGACGGUAAUGGGUAAAGAAGCACCGGCUAACUACGUG
rnacentral:rRNA from 1 species